rnacentral:tRNA from 12 species
UUUGCCUGAAAACCAGAGGUCCAGGGUUCGACUCCCACUCUUCCC